rnacentral:rRNA from 1 species
GGACGGGUGAGUAACGCGUGAGAAUCUGCCCUCAGGACGGGGACAACAGCUGGAAACGGCUGCUAAUACCCGAUGUGCCGAGAGGUGAAACAUUUAUGGCCUGAGGAUGAGCUCGCGUCUGAUUAGCUAGUUGGUGGGGUAAAAGCCUACCAAGGCGACGAUCAGUAGCUGGUCUGAGAGGAUGAUCAGCCACACUGGGACUGAGACACGGCCCAGACUCCUACGGGAGGCAGCAGUGGGGAAUUUUCCGCAAUGGGCGCAAGCCUGACGGAGCAAGACCGCGUGCGGGAGGACGGCCUAUUGGUUGUAAACCGCUUUUGAUAGGGAAGAAGUUCUGACGGUACCUAUCGAAUCAGCAUCGGCUAACUCCGUGCCAGCAGCCGCGGUAAUACGGAGGAUGCAAGCGUUAUCCGGAAUUAUUGGGCGUAAAGCGUCCGUAGGUGGUUGUUCAAGUCUGCUGUUAAAGCGUGCGGCUUAACCGCAUACCAGCAGUGGAAACUGGGCAACUAGAGUGCGGUAGGGGUCAGGGGAAUUCCCAGUGUAGCGGUGAAAUGCGUAGAUAUUGGGAAGAACACCGGUGGCG